rnacentral:rRNA from 1 species
GAUGAACGCUGGCGGCGUGCCUAACACAUGCAAGUCGAGCGGCAGCGAGGGGUGCUUGCACCCUGUCGGCGAGCGGCGGACGGCUGAGUAACGCGUGGGAACGUGCCCCAAAGUGAGGAAUAACUGCCCGAAAGGGUAGCUAAUACCGCAUAUUAUCUUCGGAUCAAAGGAUUUAUCCGCUUUGGGAGCGGCUCGCGUCGGACUAGGUAGUUGGUGAGGUAAUGGCUCACCAAGCCGACGAUCCGUAGCUGGUCUGAGAGGGUGACCAGCCAGACUGGAACUGAGACACGGUCCAGACUCCUACGGGAGGCAGCAGUGAGGAAUCUUCCACAAUGGGCGAAAGCCUGAUGGAGCAACGCCGCGUGCAGGACGAAGGCCUUCGGGUUGUAAACUGCUUUUAUAAGUGAGGAAUAUGACGGUAACUUAUGAAUAAGGAUCGGCUAACUACGUG